rnacentral:Y_RNA from 1 species
GGCUGGUCCAAAGGUAGUGAGUUAUUGAUUGUGCACAGUCAGUUACAGAUUGAACUUCUUGUUCUACUACUUUCUCCCCUUCUUACUACUGCACUUGACUAGUCUUUA